rnacentral:rRNA from 1 species
UCGGGCUAUUUAUUUUUUGAGGGAGGGGGGACGGGGCGGAGCGGAGCGGAGAGGCGAGCGUGAGUGGCGCGCCGCGUGCGGGCACUAGGCGGAGCGGCCGAAGGCGGCGACGGGGCGGCGGCGGAGGCUAGAGCCGUCCUCCCGCGCGCCUCCUCCGUCUCCCUCUACCGCCGCCUCCUGCCGCGCUCCAGCGGGUGGUCCUACGACCGCCUCCCCGUAGACGCCUAGCGGUGUCCGCCCGCCCGCGGCCGCCUGCCGCCCUAGCGGCAGGCGGUGUAGGGUGUGGUGGUGUGGCGAUUCUUUCUACAACCACCCUUUUAACUUGUUCUGUUGGAACCUCUACGUUUAGACAAUGGUAGGGUUCUCAACCCGUUUAAUCAAUUACCUUGAUUUUUCCAAGGACGAUGUAAUCUACUGAUGUCCUUCGAACAUCAAGGUCAUUAACUCCUCAUAAAAUCAUGUCCUCUACACCUUGACAGUCAAAGGCUCGAUUCCUCAGAACCUAGGCUAGUCAAAGUGUUAAUGAAACACUUCUUCGAGUAUAGGUACCGUUACCUGGCGGUACUAUUUCUUUUUCUUUACCGCAGUUAAGACGACAGACGGAACAUACGACUAGAUAACCUGAGGAGGUUCUACUCACUUCCAAAAUACUACGAAGAUCUCAGUUGUCUUCUAGACAGACACCUAUAUGGUCUGCGAUAACUACAGAACCGACAAAAACACCGUGCACGGUAACAACUACUUUAUGACGGAGGACAAAAAGAGUGAGCUCGGUCUCGUAACGAAGGUCUUAGAAGUUUUCCAUAACUCCAAGACGUCCAACGACUCUUCUCGAUGAACAGUCGAGGAGUGGUACGUCUCAAUCAACUUGCGUUCACCCCACCCUCGUGUGUGAAGUGACAACUUCUCCGCUUUUUCUCCUAGGUCCUAUAAGACUCCCUCAUGUAACUCUCACCUCUGUGUCUACUUCGGAAAUCCACGUAUUCCCUCGACCCGGAAGGUAAGAAGGUGGUACUCCAACACUUUGCACGAGAGUAGGAACCAUAGCUCUUAGACAGCAGUGUCGGUAAUUAGGACUUCAACAACUUCCUUAGUUGCUGCCCAACAAACUAGUCAAGAUUAGUUCACAGCUUCCCAAAAAGAGCCCAACGCCUCUGACAACUACUGGACUCGGAACUACAAGGAAGUCGGUUUUGUGAAAAACUGUUCGACGAAAGGCGUCGGUAUAGACUUCCCACCGAACUACGAAGUAAGACAUUUAGACGACGGGGACCACUUCUAUACACCUUACGUUCGUCACUUUUCCACUUCGUAAAAUUUCUUCUCAGACCAGUGUAUUAAGUCCUCAUAAAGGAGAGUCUACUGCAGGGCCUUGAGUAAUCUUCGGAAGUUCUCGAAAGACGGGGACUUAUGUUGCGGUAAAAGGAAUUCUUCGAGUAGUGCGAACGAUACCUGUCCUUCUUGUCCCUCUUCCUCUACCGAAGACAUGAAGAAAGAAGUGAGUCGGACCUUGAUAAAAGGUGUCCACUAUAGUACUUCCCUAAGUAUUACGAGGACGUCAGUCGUCUUCUGUGGCGGGAGCUGUAACACCUACGAGGAUCACUUGAGCGGGAGAAGGACCGGUCCCGUCACUAGCUACUUCAGAACGAAGGUGACUUAAACCUACUGUAGUCAUCGUUCGACGCGGGUUUGUCGUCACCAUCAGUUUGACAGGUCUACCGGUCGAGAGACGAACGCCGGGCGGUAAGGCCACUCUCCUAUGACGCGACGACCCCACCCCCGUGACCGACCCGACACCUUCUACGUUUCCUGUUCUAGAGGUUCGAGGAACUCCUCAUGUUGUGUCCGCCGCUGGACUUCCUUCGGACGGUCACGUAGGCGCUGGAACCCUACGGGAAGAAGUUGGUACUUCACCACUUCUUUCGCGACCACUACCGCUACCUCUUCGUCUUACUUCGAUCGUAGAACCGAGACGACGUCCUCACGAGGUCGCUCCCCGACUAAUGGUAGUUGGUCUACUGGUUGCCGAAGCGGGCGCAGUUCCUUCCGGAGCUGCUAGACUGGGAGCUGUAGGGCUUGCGCGUCCUCUUCAAGUCUCCGAUACACCUCGAGCGCUGUCUCGCGCCGACCGACGAUGGAAGGAAGCGGAGGGACGGGACUCGAGAAGGGGUUGUCUGCCGACUCGAACUUCUUUAUAUGGAGACAUAUAGCAUGUGGGUACGACAGAAAUGGUGGUAUGGCUUGAAGAAGAGGACAAGAUCAGAAAUGACUCGGCUUUACCAUACCAUAUGGCCUCACACUAUCCCAACAACCACAUAACCAGACACUGAACCUCUCAAAUUCCUUAUUGCGGUAAACCGAAGUCCUGAUCACCUCAACAAAAAUUUAACGACAGGUACCGAAAGACGAAAACUUUAAGAAACACGCAAACAUCAUUAUACAAAAGCACCGGAACCUUAUCCCACAGGUUCCACUCUACCGUCUUGUGUUUAUCCUCAUCGAGUGUUAUGCCUUCGAUGGCGCCUUCCAAGAGAGGGCUUCGGAGAGGGUGGCGGGAGGAGCCACGCUUUGCCGAGGAACCGCUAGCUAAGGCUGGCGCGGGACUACGGAGGGAACACCCAUAACUCGAAGAAGGAGGACUAAAGUUCUAUUAUGACAACUCCGUUAAUAGAAAGAAAAAGACGCUUUCCUCCGUUAAUAGUAGAUUCAUACCGUCAUGAACAUUAAAGUAUCGAUACCAAACGAUCUCGAGAGUUUGUAGAAUGACGCCUCUGAUUUUUUUGUAGAAAUUAUCAUCAAUUCACCAUGUCGAGUAGACAAA